rnacentral:rRNA from 1 species
AUUGAACGCUGGCGGCAUGCCUUACACAUGCAAGUCGAACGGCAGCACGGGAGCAAUCCUGGUGGCGAGUGGCGAACGGGUGAGUCAAGUAUCGGAACGUGCCCAGACGGGGGGGAUAACGUAGCGAAAGUUACGGUAAUACUGCAUACGACCUAUGGAUGAAAGAGGGGGAGCGCAAGACCUCGCGCUGGGGGAGCGGUCGAUAUCAGAUUAGGUAGUAGGUGGGGUAAAGGCUCACCCAGCCGACGAUCUGUAGCUGGUCUGAGAGGACGACCAGCCACACUGGGACUGAGACACGGCCCAGACUCCUACGGGAGGCAGCAGUGGGGAAUUUUGGACAAUGGGCGAAAGCCUGAUCCAGCCAUGCCGCGUGCAGGAUGAAGGCCUUCGGGUUGUAAACUGCUUUUGUACGGAACGAAAAGGUUUGGCCUAAUAAGCUGAGCUCAUGACGGUACCGUAAGAAUAAGCACCGGCUAACUACGUGCCAGCAGCCGCAGUAA